rnacentral:misc_RNA from 1 species
AUGUCCAAAAACUCAACAUAGGAAAGAUAAAGACCUCAUAGGGAUGGGGUUUUCACUUAGAUAAAUAUCGUAGAAAAUCAUUCUUUUUCUAGAAUCAAGCUAUCUCUAAUGUCCAUGGAUUGGGAAGAAAUAUUAGUGUACAUAAUUGAAAACCACUUCCUAUGUUAGUUCAAUUAAUCAAAUUGCAAAAGACAAUCCUUCUCUCUCUAGAAUCAAUCUAUCUCCAACUGCAACGGAUUGAAAGGAAACCCACACUUUGA